UAUCCAGCGAAACCACAGCC
rnacentral:ncRNA from 2 species